rnacentral:rRNA from 1 species
CCCUUAGAUGUUCUGGGCCGCACGCGCGCUACACUGAUGCAUUCAACGAGUCUAAAACCUGGUCUGAUAGGGCUGGGUAAUCUUUUGAAAGUGCAUCGUGAUUGGGAUAGAUGAUUGCAAUUCUUCAUCUUCAACGAGGAAUGCCUAGUAAACGCAAGUCAUCAGCUCGCGUUGAUUACGUCCCUGCCCUUUGUACACACCGCCCGUCGCUACUACCGAUUGGAUGGUUUAGUGAGAUCCUCGGAUUGGUCCCGGAGCGGCCUCUGGUCGUGCCGGAGUGCCGAAAAGAAUGUCGAACUUGAUCAUCUAGAGGAAGUAAAAGUCGUAACA